GACAGAGGGUGCAACCGUUGCUCGGAAUCACUGGGCGUAAAGGGCGUGUAGGCGGGAAUGUAAGUCGGGCGUGAAAUCCCUAGGCUCAACCUAGGAACUGCACUCGAAACUGCGUUUCUUGAGUGCCGGAGAGGAAAGCGGAAUUCCUGGUGUAGAGGUGAAAUUCGUAGAUAUCAGGAGGAACACCAGUGGCGAAGGCGGCUUUCUGGACGGUAACUGACGCUGAGACGCGAAAGCGUGGGGAGCAAACAGG
rnacentral:rRNA from 1 species